rnacentral:rRNA from 1 species
GAUGAACGCUGGCGGCGUGCUUAACACAUGCAAGUCGAACGAUUGAAGCUGGAGCUUGCUCCGGCCGAUUUAGUGGCGGACGGGUGAGUAACGCGUGGGUAACCUGCCUCAUACAGGGGGAUAGCAGUUGGAAACGACUGGUAAAACCGCAUAAGCGCACGGUAUCGCAUGAUACAGUGUGAAAACACUCCGGUGGUAUGAGAUGGACCCGCGUCUGAUUAGCUAGUUGGUGAGGUAACGGCCCACCAAGGCGACGAUCAGUAGCCGGCCUGAGAGGGUGAACGGCCACAUUGGGACUGAGACACGGCCCAAACUCCUACGGGAGGCAGCAGUGGGGAAUAUUGCACAAUGGGGGAAACCCUGAUGCAGCGACGCCGCGUGAGUGAUGAAGUAUUUCGGUAUGUAAAGCUCUAUCAGCAGGGAAGAUAAUGACGGU